rnacentral:rRNA from 1 species
AGUGAACGCUGGCGGUAGGCCUAACACAUGCAAGUCGAACGGCAGCACAGUAAGAGCUUGCUCUUACGGGUGGCGAGUGGCGGAUGGGUGAGGAAUACAUCGGAAUCUACUCUUUCGUGGGGGAUAACGUAGGGAAACUUACGCUAAUACCGCAUACGACCUACGGGUGAAAGCAGGGGAUCUUCGGACCUUUCGCGAUUGAAUGAGCCGAUGUUGGAUUAGCUAGUUGGCGGGGUAAAGGCCCACCAAGGCGACGACCCGCAGCUGGUCUGAGAGGAUGAUCGGCCGAACUGGAGCUGAGACACGGUCCAGACGACUACGGGAGGCAGCAGUGGGGAAUAGUGGACAAGGGGCGCAAGCCUGAUCCAGCCAUACCGCGUGGGUGAAGAAGGCCUUCGGGUGGUAAAGCCCUUUUGUUGGGAAAGAAAAGCAGCAGGUUAAUACCCCGCUGUUCUGACGGUACCCAAAGAAUAAGCACCGGCUAACUU